ACAGAUUCAGGUUGAAUAAAUUUAAGCUAGAAUUGGAUAUUUUAAAUACACUAUGCUAUUUGAGGGAAAAAGAGAGGGAUUAUUUGUGUAUUGAUUGUACUAUGUAUAUAUGUUUUGUUCUAGGAUGUUUGAUUAUCCCAGCACCACAGUGUGUCCUGAAUACUUUGUUUUAAGAAAUAAAAAAACAAUAAAAUUUGUUUUAAAAAAAUAGUGAAAAGUUAUAAAACGAUGCAUCCAAGAACUCAUCUGGAAUGGCAAUGGAAACCAAGCCAAAUAAUAAAAUGGGACUUGGAUAAAUGUUAUGACUCAAAUAGUGGCAUUUUUGCUUCCAUUCCCCUCCCGCUAAGAAUGAGGAAUCUGAUGAGUCCAUGUUAAUGUGUUUAUGUUCUGAAAUAAAUAGUUCUAUCCAACAAUAUUCUUCUAUAGAUGGAAGGACUUUUUCACAGCUCUUCUGUUAACUGAACUGAAUUGGAAUUCAAAAGAGGGAGAACAAUUAGAAAAAAAGCCUUCAUGCCAUCAGUUUAUCAAUGUGUCUGUUUUAAGUGAAAAUUUACUUGGGGAUAUUCUUCCUUUGGACAAAAAUAGAAAAAAAUCAUCCAUAUAAUUUUGUAGCUAAUAUUUCAGCUUGAUUGAAUAUAACAAUAAAUUAUAUUAAAUAAUAUUGUUCUCUUUUCCAUUAAAAUCUAAUUUGUUUUGGGAGAAAUUGCAAAUAAAACCAUUAUGCUUCAAAUGGACUAAAGUAUUAUUCUGACGUACAAAGGCAUACGGCAGAUAUAAGUCUUUUGAUGACACUAGCAAUCAAAUUCUUCCUGAUAGGAUAUAUUUCAUAUUAACUACCUAAAUCCUUUAGAUUGCUUGUGUAAGCUUAGUAAGUGCCAAGAUGAUACAUCAAAGCCAGAAAACAAGUAAUAUAAUGCCUUUUAAUGAGAUAGGAAUGAAAUUCAAGGUUUUAAGAUUUAUGCUAAUUUCAUUCUAUUGAUUUCAAUGGGUCUAAUUAAACUGCUUCUAUUUAAUGCACAGUGUAUUAUGUAGGACACAUAGUGUCUUUCCUAUGCAAGAAAGCCUCCAAUUAACAGCAUACAAUGCAACAUUGUGUAGUUAACAAAUUAAGAUAAGAAAAUAGGACAGCAAGCUCAGUAAGGUUUAAUGGACUCUCUAAAUUGGUGAGUAUAAAGUCUCUCUCUGCCUUAGAAGCUGAAAGGAUUGCGUUAGAUCUGUGUGUUCAGAAAGGUAAGUCACUUAAGGAUUCAAAGUUUGGAUUAAAAAAGUACUUGCAUGCUUUUUCGGCCCUUGUAAAUUCUCCUUCAAUGCGACUGUACCACAGGGGCAAACUCUGUCCCCAAUGUUUUUAUUCAUGCAUUAGAAUGCUUGCAGUGAACCCCAAAAUGAAUAUUUGCAGAGCCUACUAUGUGUAUUCACUGUCUUGAGAUUUUUAUAAAAAUAAUAAAAGCAGGGUAUAAACAAACAAAUAGUUCCCCAGACUAGAUACAGUAGACCAAUUUCUGCAGAAGAGAACUUGAAAUGCUUCUGAGCUAGAAACUAGAGAUUCAUUUUGUAAUAUAAACUCUGUGUGACCAAUGAAGCGAGAUAGAAUGUCUGUACCUGUAUAUAAGUGUGUGAGUUGUGUGUUUGUCUGUCUGCUGGUGUGAUCUAUAUGCAUGUGUGUAUCUGCUAGUGUGCAUAUAUAAGGAUUCAGAAUCCAACUCUGGUUUAUUGUCCAGAACUUCUCUUUUGAUCUCAUUAGAGAUUCAGCUUGGGGCUAAAUUUGGUACAUUUUCAAUGGACUUUUCUAUCAAGGGAAAAAAAAAGAAUGUGCAGCAGAGCAAACGGGUGAUUUAUAACAGCUGUGUUGAAUAAGGGGAAAAUAUGGCACAAUAAUUUAUAGGAGGAAAAGUUAUUAGAAUAAAAAUGUGAAUUCUACUUCUUUCUCCUUCCUCUUUUCAGAAUGCAAUUAAAUGAGCCACGAAUGAAUGGUUCCCUGUUAGUGAAAUCAUAUAAAAUAAAAUGACCUGACCAAAGGACUGUCAAAAUAAUGAGGAAAAAUGUGCAAUCCUUAAAAAGAGAAAGAACUAAUUAAUACCUGGAACUCUUUGGGCUUCUCCCUUGUUCUUCUUCCCUUAUCUCACUCCACCCCUGCCAUUAGCCAUAAUUCAGAAUUUAACCUGAAGAAAUGCUAUUUAUUUAUCUGUAUGGGCAAGAGAAGCUGGAAAUACAGACAUACAUCUACUAAGUAUCACCAUAGCUACAAAUUACAUUAGGAAAGCUCCUCGUUAUCAAAUAUUAAGCAAAUGGAAGGACAGGGUCUGCUGGUUGUUGAAGGUUACAUGAGAUAGUAUUCUUCAGUGAAUUCUAUACAUAGAAGUGGUUGAGGACAAUUAAGCUUUGGGUAGAAAGCAUCUUAUCUACAGAUCCUCUAAAGCAGGGGAAACAAUGAUUUUCAAACAUACCUUCCUUCUACUGCUUUUCUCCUUCUUUCCAGAAAAUUGCCAUCAGUUUUAUGCAGACCCUGUCAGCACCUUUUGGAAACAGGAGAAACAGAUGGGAGCUCAUGAACAAAACUAGCUAAUAGGGGAGCAGGGAAGGCUUGUGAAGGAAUUCUACGGGGGAUGAUUUCUGGAGACUGAUGAGCAAGGGGAGUUUAGCUACUGGGUAAUGAAGCCAGUGCGUCAAGUUCUAUAGAAGUCUAACAUAGGAAUCAGUCUUCAAAUUCAACAGUUCCUUAAAAAA